rnacentral:miRNA from 1 species
UAUUGAGUUGGCCAAAAACUUCAUUUGGGUUUUUCUGUAACAUCUUAAGGAAAAACUCAAACAAACUUUUUUGGCCAACCCAAUA